rnacentral:hammerhead_ribozyme from 1 species
AUUCAGCUGACGUGUCCCAAAUAGGAUGAAACGCGCUUUCUGGAU